CAUGCUGGGACAAUGAAAGGCAGAAAUGCUUUGCACAUCUAACAGGACAUGGUUUUGCAUCACUCAGAAGACUUGAUUUAAAUUGUCAUUUGGGACUGUAUGUGGUAUUGGUAAAAGAUGGUCUAUUUAAUAUAAACCAAACUUCUUCACUGUUUUGCACACCAGACUAAGUUGCCGCUACGACUCUCUUGUCUACUAGACUAUAUGACAACACCUUGUGGCUUAGCUGGGUGCCGCAUGCCUUUAACCCAGCAUUAGAGAGGCAAAAACAGCAGAGCAGGUAGAACUGGCAGCAGGUGAUGACGCAAGCUGUUGCUAGACCACUGUUGGGAGGAGCCUAGUAGAAUUGUCUGUAAGCCAACAAUGCCAAAUAUAUUUGAUUACAGGUGUUGUGGAGAACACAGAAGAGAUCUUAGAAAAUCUUUUGUUCUAGAGAUUAGCAGCAUGACUGGUGAUCAGACAAAAGUUUAUGAGAGGAAGAGUACCUGUGUAUGAUGCACACUGAUGUGUGUGGCAUGAGGCUCCAAGUCAGCAGGCAGCCUAUUAUUACUUAGUGGCUGAUGAAUCCAGAGUCAACAUUUGGAAGCUGAAGAAUGCCCAUCUUCUUUCAAAAUCUUUUGGCUUUUAAAAAGCUGAGCACAGCAAAGAGCUUUGCCAGCAGUCAGCUUCUUCAUGCAAAUGAACUAAUCCAUAAACAGGAGAGACUUAAAGAAUGAAGAAAACUGGAGAACGGGAGGCUGGACCCUGCAUGGCCUGGGAGGAGCAAGACAACCUGUGGGAGCCGAUUCUCUCCUUCCAUCAUGUGAGGUCCAGCUAAUAAAAAAUUCAGUUCAGAAGAGGAAUAAAUUGUUGGGACAUAAAUCUAUGACUGGAGUGUUUAUGUCUACUGUACAAAACAAAAUCCAUCUACAAGGCUGACCUCACUUGGAACUUGCUGCAGACUGGAUUAGCUUCCAUCUUGUAGUGAUCCUCCUGUCUCAGUAUAGACUACACCACGACACCUGGCUACCUGGAGUUUUUGGACCAUUGGGAAGUAAUAACCAUUAUGAAGACACAGUUUGGAAAAAAAAUCUAGUUCUUUUACUCUCUCUCUCUCUCUCUGUCUCAUAAUUUAGAUGGCUAUAUUUGGUUUUAGCAUACAAAGUAAUAGUUUCAUCAUAUUUUUUAUACAUGCAUGUUAUUAUACUUGUUCUAAGAGAAAGACUUUAAGUUAAUGAUAGUGUUAGAAAAGGAUUGUUCUUUAACUCUAUCUAAUUAAAUGAUGGGGUACUUUCCUUUGUGAUUGCUUUGGGCUCUAAUUACCCAUCACUAUUUCUCUGAACUUACACUAGAUCAAACAAACUUUGAUCAGAUUUCUAGUUGUCAUGUAUACAUUUUACUAGAAAGAGGUGGAGAAGUUAUUGUCAGUCAGAAGUUAUCUAUUAUCAUUCACACACUGUAAUUUGUAAUCAGAAGCAUUGACACGGCCUGUGUGGGGCAUCAUGGUAUCCUGAAGUUGAGAACUCCAAGCCUCAGAACUUUCAGUAAAGGGUGCCAACAAACAUCGGGGUCUAUACUGAGCUGCAGCUCUGUGUUAUUUGCUUUUCUGUUGCUGUGAUAAAACUCUAUGGCCAAGGCAACUCAUAAAACUGUUUAAUUGGGCUUAUGAUUUCAAAGGGUUGGGAUAGCUGAGGGCUCACAGAGGGAACGGUAAGAAUGGUAAGAGUCUUUAAAUUCCUUAAAGUCUGCCCCAGUGACAUACUUCCUCCAACAAGGCCACACCUCCUAAACGUUCCAAACAGUUCCACCAACUAAGAACCUAGUAUUCUAGCACAUGAGUCAGUAGGGGCACUUCUCAUUCAAACCAACAUAAGGUCCCAGUGUUUAGCAGGCAAAUAGACUAGGAAAAUCACUUAUUAAGAAAUAUAUUUUAUAGACUAGGGAGAUGGGUCAGUUGGUAAAGUACCUGCCGUGCAAGCACAACAACUUAAGUUCAGAUGCCCAGCAGCCAUGCAGAAAGCUAGGCGUGGGGGUUAGCUAGGCAAAAAGCUAAGACAUGUGCACUUUACAUGUGCACACAUCACACAGGUGCACAAUACCACACACACACACAUAAAGAAGAAAGGAAAAGAGUGUGCUUUAUGAUAAUGGCAUAGAUGUGUGAAGACACCAUGAUGAAGCUCAUUGUUAUGUAUAAUAACCAAAAAGGUAAUUAAAGAGAACAGAAAGGAAAUAUAGAUUAUUUUGCCUAAGGGAAAGGAAGAGGUUGUAUAAGAAUUGGAUACUGAGCUGGAGAGAUGAUCAACGCUUAAAGAGCAUAUAUCAAUCUUCUGGAGGACCUAAAUUCAGUUCCCAGCACCCACAUGGGCAGCUCACAACCACCCGUAACAGCAGCUCCAGGAGAGUCUGAUCCCCCGGGCCUUCUCUAGCACCAUACUCAUAUGCACAUGCCAUAAAGGAAUAUAACAAGUAUACAUCAUUAGAAAUAACAAAGUAAAUCUUAAAAGAAAAAAAAAAGAACAUUAAAGGCAAGUUCUAGGGACAGGCAAAGUUAGUGGUGAAAUAAAUGCCAAGCUAGUAGCUUAAGAAAACUUUAUUUAAAAAGUAGUAAAGCUAGUAGUUUCAUUAUUUAUAGUAAAAGCCAUGGACUUUAUCUAUGUCUACCAAAAAAACUCCACAUAUACUUAAGUUUAUAGAGAUUCUAAUAUAGACUUCCACCUUACUCCACCAGAUGAGAGAAAAGGAGUGAGCCAUCAUCUUGUGAGGAAAACAGACACAGCAUGAAUAAGAGAUCCAGAAUUUGCCCCCACAUAAACGCUUGAAAUGUUUUGUUGUUGUUAUUGUUCUGUUUUCAAGAUGAACUUUCUCUGUGUAGCCUUGACUAUCCUGUAGACCAGGCUGGCUGUGAACUCAAAAGACUCACCUACUUCUGCCUCCCCAGUGCUGGGAUUGAAGGUGUGUGCCACCACCACCACCCAUCUAAAAACAAAUCCAAACUCUUGAUUAUCAAUCAUCAACAUUCAACCUUUUUUAUCAUGUAAACAAAAGGAAUGAAAUCUGAAAAUCAGACAAAUUAUAGAGAAACAUCAGUGAAUAAGAAAGGGUUUCCUUUAUAAAAGGAGCUGGAGGGACUGGAGAGGUUGCUCAGAGGCAAUGCGCACUUGCUGCUUUUGUAGAGGACCUGUGUUCAACUCCAAGCACCAAGAUGGCAGCUGUCAAACAUAUGAAACUCCAGUGUUGGGGUCUCAUGCCCUCUUUGGGCCUGCUCAGGCUCAAGGCACACAUGUGGUGCAUCCACACACAUAAAAUAAAAUUUGAAGGGGUUGGAGAAAGGUCAAGACUAGCUCUGUAGCAGAGAGCAUCCUUCUGAUGAUGCAAAGCUACAGCAAAGGCAUUCCUGAGCAAGAACCCGCACCAUUCCCACAGGGAGGGAGAGGAAUAUCCUUCAGUAUGCUUGCUCAUAUUUGGAUUCCUCGGGAACUAGAAUAAUGCUGAAAUCUGAGUGCCCCGGGCUAUGACCCCACGUGCAAUGUGCAAGCAAAUGUUUCUCCUUGAACUUUAGUCAUCCACUGGGAGUUCUCUAUACAGUUUUCAGUCUAGCUCUUCUCGUUUUGGUCAAUGAGUGGGUUUAGAUUCAAUCUAUAAAUAUGCUUUGGGAAUCAUACAUCGUUACCCAUAAGCUAUGUCAAAAGUAUUGAGAACAAUUAGUGUAACUAUUCCCUUGAACUCAGCCUUUUAAAGAUAUAUAUUCUUUGUCUACUCUUCCUUCUGUAACUCCUCCAUACUGGCGCAUAUAAAUAUUACCGUAUUGAACAAACAACAAAUAUGCUCAUGCUUUCUCCCAGUUGUGCAUAUUUAUUCAUGAAAACAAUAUCUUAUAAUCCAGUAAUGGGGAUGGAAAAUUCUAAAGACUUAGCAAAAAUAAAAUAUUAAAUAAUAUAGUUUAUAGGAUCUAAAAGAUUGGGAAUAAUUAUGAUACAAAGCACAAAGAAGUGGAGGAUAGAAAACCCUGCCACUAAUCUGGUUUCAUUACUGUGUAUAGUGACACUUCAAGCCUACUUUUGACCUCUAUGAACCUAUUUUAAGAAUGUUUGGCGUGGCUGGAGAGAUGGCUCAGAGGUUAAGAGCACUGACUGCUCUUCUGAAGGUCCUGAGUUCAAAUCCCAGCAACCACAUAGUGACUCACAACCAUCUGUUAUGGGAUCUGAUGCUCUCUUCUGGUGGGUCUGAAGACAGCUACAAUGUACUUACAUACAAUAAAUAAAUAAAUCUUUUUUAAAAUGUUUGAUAGAGCUGGAGAAAUUGCUCAAUAGCUAAGAACACUGUCUACUUUCCCCUAGGGCCUAGGUUUGAGUCCCAGCAUCCUCAUGGAAGCUCACCACCAUCCGUAAUUCCAGCCCAAGAAGACCUCCGCAGGCACCUCACACAUAUGGGGCACAUACAUAUGUGCAAGCAAAACACUCAUACAUACUAAAUAAAAAUAAAAAUUUAAAUUAUCAAGAAAUACGGGUGUGAAUAAAUGCUAGGAUGCUUGUGUGUUCUAGACAUGGCGGGGUGCUGUACCUGUCAAAUCUCAACAGUACAGAUGAAUGAACAAGACCACACAGGACCACACAGCCAGGCAUAUCAACAUGGAGAUCUCACAAAGCCCCGCCCAUAGCUGAAGAGCUACAGCAGUCAAUGGAUGCUGAGAGAAGAAGAAUGACUUUUCCUCAGUGAUCAGCUCCCUCAGAGGUUAGCCAAAACCAAGCAACCAGCUCUAAAUGCACAACUGCGCACACACGUGUAUACACACACACACACGUAUACACACAUGCACACUACUAAAUAUAGAAUAUAGGAUAUAAAAUUUGUGUUUUAUAUGGCCUUCAUUUUAUC